AGGCGGAUAGUGGUAGGGGAGCAUUCCGGCCAGCGUUGAAGGUGUACCGUGAGGUAUGCUGGAGCGGCCGGAAAAGAAAAUGUAGGAAUGAGUAACGAUAAUUAAGAUGAAAAAUCUUAACGCCGAAAGACUAAGGGUUCCUGAUCAACGUUAAUCGGAUCAGGGUUAGUCGGGUACUUAGGCGAAGCCGAAAGGUGCAGCUGAUGUCAAGUUGGUUAAUAUUCCAACACUUGUAAUGGUUUCGAUGGGGUAACGGAGAAGUGAAAGGUCCGCGGGAUAACGGUAUAUCCCGUUAAAGCGUGUAGAUAUAGAGCUGGCAGGCAAAUCCACCAGUUUUGUCGAACGUGAUAGUACGCAGAGGCUUCGGCCAAAGUGAUAGCGACCCUAAUCAUGCUCACGAGAAAAACCUCUAAGGUUAGGCCAUUACAACCCGUACCGUAAACCGACACAGGUAGUCGAGAAGAGUAUUCUAAGGCGCUCGGGUGAGCCACGGAGAAGGAACUAGGCAAAUUGUAGCUGUAACUUCGGGAUAAAGCUAUCCCUCCGCAAGGGGGGAUUCAAUGAAAAGGUUCAACCAACUGUUUAGCAAAAACACAGGGCCCUGCAAAAUCGAAAGAUGACGUAUAGAGCCUGAUACCUGCCCGGUGCUGGAAGGUUAAGGAAGCUUGUCAGCCGUAAGGUGAAGCUUGCGACCGAGGCCCCAGUGAACGGCGGCCGUAACAAUAACGGUCCUAAGGUAGCGAAAUUCCUUGUCGGGUAAGUUCCGACCUGCACGAAUGGUCUAAUGAGUUGAACACUGUCUCCUCCGUGAGCCCGGUAAAAUUGUAGUAUCGGUGAAGAUGCCGGUUACCCGCCACGGGACGAAAAGACCCCGUGAACCUUCACUACAACUUUGCAUUGAUUUUGAGUAACAGAUGUGUAGCAUAGUUGGGAGACUUUGAAGCAGGUGCGCCAGCAUUUGUGGAGUCAACGUUGAAAUACCAACCUUCUGUUACUUAGAGUCUAAUCCCCGCAAGGGGAGACAUUGCAUGGUGGGUAGUUUGACUGGGGUGGUCGCCUCCUAAAGUGUAACGGAGGCUCGCAAAGGUACCCUCAGUACGGUUGGUAAUCGUACGCAGAGCGCAUUAGUAGAAGGGUGCUUGACUGUGAGACUUACCAGUCGAGCAGGUGCGAAAGCAGGCUAAAGUGAUCCGGUGGUUUCCGUAUGGAAGGGCCAUCGCUCAAAGGAUAAAAGGUACUCCGGAUAACAGGCUGAUCUCCCCCAAGAGCUCAUAUCGACGGGGAGGUUUGGCACCUCGAUGUCGGUUCGUCACAUCCUGGGGCUGGAGAAGGUCCCAAGGGUUCGGCUGUUCGCCGAUUAAAGUGGAACGUGAACUGGGUUCAGAACGUCGCAAAACAGUUCGGUCUCUAUCUGUGGUGGGCGUUAGUAAAUUGAGAGGACAUGCUCUUAGUACGAGAGGACCGGAGCGUAUGUACCGCUGGUGUAUCUGUUGUUCCGCCAGGGGCAGUGCAGAGUAGCUAUGUACAGUCAGGAUAAGCGCUGAAAGCAUCUAAGCGCGAAACCUUCCUCAAGAUGAGUUUACUUUUAAGGGCCGUGGAAGACUACCACGUCGAUAGGCUAUAGGUGUAAAGGUGGUAACAUCAAAGCCGAGUAGUACUAAUUGCCCGUAAGC
rnacentral:rRNA from 1 species